UAUGCUAUGGACCGGGGAAGGAUGAGAAGCUUCGACGAAGGUUCGAGUCGAGCGACAGCGAGACAACGUUGCCGCAGGCAACGGCCCGAAGGGUGAGGAGCGAAGCGACGAAUAAUCCUUCCCCCACCACCA
rnacentral:sRNA from 1 species